rnacentral:rRNA from 1 species
GACGAACGCUGGCGGCGUGCUUAACACAUGCAAGUCGAACGGAAAGGCCCUGCUUUGGUGGGGUGCUCGAGUGGCGAACGGGUGAGUAACACGUGAGUAACCUGCCCUUGACUUUGGGAUAACUUUAGGAAACUGGGGCUAAUACCGGAUAGGAGCUCCUGCUGCAUGGCGGGGGUGGGAGAGUUUCGGCGGUUGGGGAUGGACGCGGGGCUUAUCAGCUUGUUGGUGGGGUAGUGGCUUACCAAGGUUUUGACGGGUAGCCGGCCUGAGAGGGUGACCGGCCACAUUGGGACUGAGAUACGGCCCGGCCUCCUACGGGAGGCAGCGGUGGGGAUUAUUGCACAAUGGGCGGAGGCCUGAUGCAGCAACGCCGCGUGCGGGAUGACGGCCUUCGGGUGGUAAACCGCUUUCGCCUGUGACGAAGCGUAAGUGACGGUAAUUGGUAAAGAAGCACCGGCUAACUACGUG